UACGUAGGGUGCAAGCGUUAAUCGGAAUUACUGGGCGUAAAGCGUGCGCAGGCGGUUUUGUAAGUCUGUCGUGAAAUCCCCCGGGCUCAACCUGGGGAAUUGCGAUGGAGACUGCAAGGCUAGAAUCUGGCAGAGGGGGGUAGAAUUCCACGUGUAGCAGUGAAAUGCGUAGAGAUGUGGAGGAACACCGAUGGCGAAGGCAGCCCCCUGGGUCAAGACUGACGCUCAUGCACGAAAGCGUGGGGAGCAAACAGG
rnacentral:rRNA from 1 species